AUUGAACGCUGGCGGCAGGCCUAACACAUGCAAGUCGAGCGGAUGAGUGGAGCUUGCUCCAUGAUUCAGCGGCGGACGGGUGAGUAAUGCCUAGGAAUCUGCCUGGUAGUGGGGGACAACGUUUCGAAAGGAACGCUAAUACCGCAUACGUCCUACGGGAGAAAGUGGGGGAUCUUCGGCCCUCACGCUAUCAGAUGAGCCUAGGUCGGAUUAGCUAGUUGGUGAGGUAAAGGCUCACCAAGGCGACGAUCCGUAACUGGUCUGAGAGGAUGAUCAGUCAGACUGGAACUGAGACACGGUCCAGACUCCUACGGGAGGCAGCAGUGGGGAAUAUUGGACAAUGGGCGAAAGCCUGAUCCAGCCAUGCCGCGUGUGUGAAGAAGGUCUUUGGAUUGUAAAGCACUUUAAGUUGGGAGGAAGGGCAGUAAGUUAAUACCUUGCUGUUUUGACGUUACCAACAGAAUAAGCACCGGCUAACUUCGUGCCAGCAGCCGCAGUAACAC
rnacentral:rRNA from 1 species